GAAGCGGAGCUGCCUGGACGCGAGAACUGGCUACCGUCACCGGAACCGUUGCAUCUUCCAACGGAAAUCUGGUUGCCAAAAGGGGUAGGAAUACGUCAUUUGUACGUAAUCUGAGGCACCCGCAUCUCACAUCACCCCAUGGUGCCCCCACCGCGUCACGUGACCAACCCGGUCCCAAACUCGUGGACCGCAGAAUGUGACGCUGUGACUGUCACGUGUCCCGGCUCUGUCAGCGCCGUCUCUGGGACGCUGUUUUCAUCACGACGUCCCCGGCACUCCGACCACCGAACGACGCCCACACGGCCCCCGCGAGAGGAAGGAGUGGAGGCACAGAGAAGUUGAGGAACUUGCCUGAGGUUACACAGCCAGUAAAGGAUACAGCCGGGAUUUUAACCCAGAUGCUGGAGCUCCGCAUCAGAGCCAUCUGCAGAUGGGCCAGGAGGUCCUGGGAGGUAGUGAACACCCUGUUCCCGGAGGCAGACAAGCAGAGCUCCAAGACCCACUGCAGCGGGAGAGGCCCAGGCUGUGCAACACAAGCCCCGUGGCCUUCUUGGCAAGCACCUGGCUGGUUCCCUGCAUUGUAAAAACCACACAGAGGGUCAGUCUUUCUAUUUCUAGUGUCUAAAGAGCCUCCUGCAGGAACACACACGGGCUCGCACGCAGAGGUGGUCGCGCGCAGCCUCACGCAGACACCAGAUACAAAACACAGCCGCUAUCUGUGUCUACUGGAAAGGGAUCCACAUCCCGGCUCCCAGGUUAUUCCCUGAAUUCAUUCCCUCACCCCCUCUUUCCACCGGGCCACCCCACCCCCCCGGGCCACCCUAGCAUCUCCUCUUGGCCCUCCGCAUCUCUCCCUGCU